GUGAUGGUUAUCACGUCUGCUUCACACGCAGAAGGUUGCCGGUUCGAACCCGGC
rnacentral:tRNA from 1 species